rnacentral:rRNA from 1 species
UACGUAGGGGGCAAGCGUUGUCCGGAAUCAUUGGGCGUAAAGCGCGCGUAGGCGGCCCGGUAAGUCCGUUGUGAAAGUCAAAGGCUCAACCUUUGAACGCCGAUGGAUACUGCCGGGCUAGAGUCCGGAAGAGGCGAGUGGAAUUCCUGGUGUAGCGGUGGAACGCGCAGAUAUCAGGAGGAACACCAAUAGCGAAGGCAGCUCGCUGGGACGGUACUGACGCUGAGGCGCGAAAGCGUGGGGAGCGAACAGG